CCAUCAACAAACUUAACAAAGUCCUCAAAACACAACAACCCAUCACCGUCCGAGUCCGAAUACUCAAUAGCCGCCUCUGCCUCCGCCAGCGACAGCUCUCCCCCUACAGCACCGACACAUCGCUGCAAUUCGAAAGGGGAAAUCUUCCCAUCUCCAUUCUCAUCGAAGUGGUUAAACACACGCUCAUAUUCCUGGAAUUUGUUGUAAUUCAUCAUCAAAUUUAAUGGAAGAACAAGAAAGAAAAAUCUGGGUUUUCAGGAUUACUUAGUUGGUUGC
rnacentral:misc_RNA from 1 species